rnacentral:lncRNA from 1 species
CUAUUUCUUGGGCCGCUCCCACGGCAUAUGGAGGUUCCCAGGCUAGGGAUCCAAUCGGAGCUGUAGCCACUGGCCUACACCAGAGCCACAGCAAAGCAGGAUCUGAGCCACGUCUGCAACCUACACCACAGCUCACGGCAACGCCGGAUCCUUAACCCACUGAGCAAGGGCAGGGACCGAACCCGCACCCUCAUGGUUCCUAGUCGGAUUCGUUAACCACUGCGCCACGACGGGAACUCCUGUUGGAAGUUUCUUAAUCACAGUUUCAAUUUCAGUACUUCUGAUUGGUCCAUUCACCUUUUCUAUUUCUUCUUGGUUUAGUUUUGGAAGAUUGUACUUUUUUAAGAAUUUGUCCAUUUCUUCUAGUUUGUCUGUUUUAUUGGUACAUAGUGGCUUGUAGUAGUCUCUUAUGAUCCUUUGUAUUUCUGUGAUGUUUGUUCUCACUUCUUUUUCAUUUCUAGUUUUACUGACUUGAGUCCUCUCCUCUUUUUCUCUUGAUGAGUCUGGCUAAAGGUUUAUCAAUUUUGUUGAUCUUUUCAAAAAACCAGCUUUUAGUUUCAUUGAUGGUUUUCUUGGUUUCUAUUUCAUUUCAGCUCUAAUCCUUAUGAUUUCUUUCCUUCUGCUAGCUUUGGGUUUUGUCUGUUCUUUCUCUAGUUGCUUUAAAUGUAAAUUUAGUUGUUUGAGAUUUUUCUUGUUUCCUGGGGUGGUCUUGUAUUGGUAUAAAUUUCCCUCUUGGAACUGCUUUUGCUGCAUCCCAUAUGUUUUGGAUUGUUAGGUCUUUGUCAUCAUUUGCUUUUUUAGGUAUUUUUUAACUUCCUCUUUGUUUUCUUCAAUGAUCCAUUGGUUGUUUAGUAGCAUGUCUUUUAGUCUCCACAUGUUUGUGUUUUUUGAAGUUUUUUUCUUGUUGAUUUCUAGUUGUAUAGCGUUGUGUGGCCAGAAAAGAUGCUUGAUAUGAUUUCAGUUUUCUUAAAUUUCCUGAGGCUUAAUUUGUGGCCCAGAAUGUGAUCUAUCCUAGAGAAUGUUCCAGUGCAUUUGAAAGAAUGUGUGUUCUGCUGCUUUUGGAUGGAAUAUUCUAUAAAUAUCUAUUAAGUCCGUCUGGUCUAAUGCAUCAUUUAAGGCCUGUGUUUCCUUGUUAAUUUUCUAUCUGGAGGAUCUGUCAUUGCCUUAAGUGGGAUGUCAAAAAGUCUCCCACUAUUAUUGUGUUAUUGUCGAUUUCUCCUUAUAGGGCUGUUAGCAGUUGCCUUAUAUAUUGAGCUGAUCCUAUGUUGGGUGCAUAUAUGUUUACAAUUGUUAAAUUUUCUUCUUGGAUUGAUCCUUUGAUCAUUAUGUAAUGUCCUUCCUUGUCUCUUAAAAUAUUCUUUAUUUUAAGGUCUAUUUUGUCUGGUAUGAGUAUUGCUACUCCAGCUUUCUUUUGAUUCCCAUUUGCAUGGAAUAUU